GUGAGGAAUAUUGCGCAAUGGAGGCAACUCUGACGCAGCCAUGCCGCGUGCAGGAAGAAGGCGCUACGCGUUGUAAACUGCUUUUAACCGGGAAGAAACCCCAGGACGUGUCCUGGGUUGACGGUACCGGAGGAAUAAGCACCGGCUAACUUCGUGCCAGCAGCCGCGGUAAUACGAAGGGUGCAAGCGUUAUCCGGAUUCAUUGGGUUUAAAGGGUGCGUAGGCGGAGCGUUAAGUCAGUGGUGAAAUCCUGCAGCUUAACUGUAGACUUGCCAUUGAUACUGGCGCUCUUGAGUGCGCUUGAAGUGGGCGGAAUGUGACGUGUAGCGGUGAAAUGCUUAGAUAUGGCACAGAACACCAAUUGCGAAGGCAGCUCACUAAGGCGAUACUGACGCUGAGGCACGAAAGCGUGGGGAUCGAACAGGAUUAGAAACCCGGGUAGUCC
rnacentral:rRNA from 1 species